AAGGAUAUUACGGAAACGUACUGUGUUGGUUGUUCAGUUUUGAGAGAUCAAACUAUGAAAAUAUGAUCUUCCUUCAAUUGGAUGGGCCUGUAGCUCAGUUGGUUAGAGCGCACGCCUGAUAAGCGUGAGGUCGGUGGUUCAAGUCCACUCAGGCCCACCAUUCAAAAAGGGGCCUUAGCUCAGCUGGGAGAGCGCCUGCUUUGCACGCAGGAGGUCAGCGGUUCGAUCCCGCUAGGCUCCACCAUUUAAAUGUUACACCUAAACACAAGAACCUAUUUUGUGUUUUAUAAUCAACCCUGCAUAAGGGCGUGAACCUUGAAAACUGGAUAAGGAAUCAUUGUUUCAUCUAACGAUGAGGCAAUUGAUGACAAGACAUCUAAUUGAAAUUGUAAACGUCUUUUCACGAAGAUAG
rnacentral:tRNA from 1 species